GCCUGAACUGCAAUUUGACAAACAGAUAUGAGUUGGCCUGGUAUCACCAGUAUUCUCAACAACUAACUCAACUAAUAUCUGCUAAGACCAGCAGUGUAGCGGGAAGAAAACUGCUAGUUAGGUACAAUCAAAACUGGAGUCGUCUGACAGUGAAAGCAGAUGUGGAGAUCAACACAGUCUCGCUAGUUAUUUCUGAUCUAACAGAGCCAGAUUCAGGUCUUUAUUUCUGUGGAACAAAAUCAGUGACUUCAGAAAUGCACUUCAACAAACCCGUAAGACUACAGAUGGAGGACAAGCUGACAGACAGAGAGGACAAAGUUAAUUCCGUCACAGAUCCGCCAGAGGAUGCUGAGCUCACAGAUGAAGUGACGGUGAUGGAGCGUGUGCUGAUGUUCGGUGGUGUUGGUUUGGCUGUGUUGGUGUUUUUUCUGGCUACAGUCAUCGCAGGAGGAAUCAUUCACUAUCGCGGCUGGCAGAAAGGAUGGACCGCAGCCAAACGCUCAUCUCUGAUUCACCACAAAUCACAGAAUUGACACAUUUGUGUGCUUUAUUUUUCACUCUAUCCCAUUAAUCAGCAUUGCUGUAGGUUACAACCGAUGGUGGCUCACCAAUAUGGAUCAGAUGUGGUUCUGUUGGCCAGAUCUCAGACUUCUGUUGUGGCAAGAAGAGCAUUAUUAUGUACAUAUAAGCUGAAUUCAAGAGGAAAUAUACAUGCUAUCUAUUUUAAGGCACAAAAAGCUUGAUUAAAUAAAAAUGUUUUCAAUGUU
rnacentral:lncRNA from 1 species